UAACACCCUUCAAGAUAGAAUCUUUUUCUUUUAGUUUGUCUUCUUAUCUGAACUCUUCAAAAGAGCCACAGAACUCCAACCUGGCGGAUGAGAUAUAUCCUCAGUGCCUUAGAGUGAUACCAAGUGCUUUUGCUCCGGCUUUAGCGGUGAUGAUCUCGACCCUUUUGAGCGUCUGGCUUCGGUCGGCUUGACUGGGUAGGCACUGAUGGACUUCUGACAGGC
rnacentral:snoRNA from 1 species